rfam:Oryza nivara chromosome 9, whole genome shotgun sequence.
UUUAAGCGUAGCUAUGAGUUUUUGUUUCCAACUUUGAUCAUCCGUUUUAUUUGAAUUUUUUUUAUGAUUAUUUUUAUAUUGUUAUUAGAUGAUAAACAUGAAUAGUACUUUAUGCGUGAUUUAUAUAUUUUAUUUUUUUCAAAUAAAACUGACGAUUAAAGUUGGAUAAGAAAAACUUACGUGGUUGUGCUUAAA